rnacentral:tRNA from 1 species
GUUAAAGUGGCAGAGACCGGUAAUUGCAUAAAACUUAAGCUUUUAUAAACCAGAGGUUCAACUCCUCUCUUUAACA